GACGAACGCUGGCGGCGUGCCUAAUACAUGCAAGUCGAACGCAGUGGGGACGGGUGAGUAACACGUGGGUAACCUCCCAUCAGAGGGGAUAAAACUUGGAAAAAGGUGCUAAACCGAUACUGAUUGAUUGACCAGCGGUGCAUUCUCUAGUUGGUGGGGUAACGGCUCACCAGGGCCACGAUGCAUAGCCGAUCUGAGAGGUUGAUCAGCCACACUGGGACAGAGACACGUCCCAGACUCCGACGGGAGGCAGCAGUAGGGAAUCUUCGGCAAUGGACGAAAGUCUGACCGAUCAACGCCGCGUGAGUGAAGAAGGUUUUCGGAUCGUAAAACUCUGUUGUUAGAGAAGCGGUAUCUAACCAGAAAGCCACGGCUAACUACGUGCCAGCCGCCGCGGUAAUAC
rnacentral:rRNA from 1 species